GCUGCCCGCUUUCUUCUUUCCUAAUACAUGCAAGUCGAGCGAACGGACGAGAAGCUUGCUUCUCUGAUGUUAGCGGCGGACGGGUGAGUAACACGUGGAUAACCUACCUAUAAGACUGGGAUAACUUCGGGAAACCGGAGCUAAUACCGGAUAAUAUUUUGAACCGCAUGGUUCAAAAGUGAAAGACGGUCUUGCUGUCACUUAUAGAUGGAUCCGCGCUGCAUUAGCUAGUUGGUAAGGUAACGGCUUACCAAGGCAACGAUGCAUAGCCGACCUGAGAGGGUGAUCGGCCAUACUGGAACUGAGACACGGUCCAGACUCCUACGGGAGGCAGCAGUAGGGAAUCUUCCGCAAUGGGCGAAAGCCUGACGGAGCAACGCCGCGUGAGUGAUGAAGGUCUUCGGAUCGUAAAACUCUGUUAUUAGGGAAGAACAUAUGUGUAAGUAACUGUGCACAUCUUGACGGUACCUAAUCAGAAAGCCACGGCUAACUACGUG
rnacentral:rRNA from 1 species